ensembl:snoRNA
CUGCCUGAAAUGAUGAUAUGAAUUCAUGUCUCUUCUCUGAGAUUGACUAUGGAGACAACUGCAUUUCUGAUCAGGCCC